AGAACAUACCGGGUGUAAACUUGGAGGUGCAUUCAGGGGCAGGAGAGAGGCAGAGGAUGAAGAGUGGUAGUCUGAGAGUACGAAGGAAGAUCCUAGCUGUGGUUGUGGUGUUUGUGGCAUGUUUCCUGCCCUACCAUGUCCAGCGUGCAGUGACCCUGCUCUCACCACAUGGGGGAGACUGUGAGAAGUUGAGAACACAAUGGAAGGCGAAGAAUGCAACUAUAACCAUAGCAGCUCUGAGCUGCAUUGUACAUCCCUUACUCCAUCUGGCCUUGCGCCAUCUGCCCUGCUGCAGAAGACUACAGUAAAAGAUACAGACCGAACCCACCCAGCCACUCACUGCUGUGGGCAACUGUAAGAGGCCUAGCUGGUUGAGAGAAUGCCUAGUGUGUGCAAAGCUGUCAUCAAGGCAUAGGGUGGCUACUUUGAAGAAUCUAAAAUCUAAAAUAUAUAUUUGAUUUGUUUAACACUUUUUUGGUUACUACAUGAUUCUAUAUGUGUCAUUUCAUAUUUUUUGUCUUCAGUAUUAUUCUACAAUGUAGUAAAUAGUAAAAAUAAAGAAAAACCAUUGAAUGAGUAGGUGUGUCCAAACUUUUGAUUGGUACUGUAUAUAUACACAGUGCAUUCGGAAAGUAUUCAGACCCCUUGACUUAUUUUGUUACGUUACAGCCUUAUUCUAAAAUGUAUGAAAUUUUAGCAAUUCUUUUUAGCAAAUUUAUAUAAAAUAAAAUUAAUACCUUAUUUACAUUCAAACCCUUUACUAUGAGACUCGAAAUUGAGCUCAGAUGCAUCCUGUUUCCAUUGAUCAUCCUUGAGAUGUUUCUACGACUUGAUUGGAGUCCACCUGUGUUAAAAUCAAUUGAUUGGACAUGAUUUGGAAAGGCACACACUUGUCUUUUUAAGGUCCCACAGUUGACAGUGCAUGUCAGAGCAAAAACCAAGCCAUGAAGUUGAAGGAAUUGUCUAUAGAGCUCAGAGACAGGAUUGUGUUGAGGCACAGAUCUGGGGAAGGGUGCUUAAAAAAUUACUCAGCAUUGAAGGUCACCAAGAACACCGUGACCUCCAUCAUCCUUAAAUGGAAGAAGUUUGGAACCAACAAGACUCUUCCUAGAACUGGCCACCCGGCCAAACUGAGCAAUUGUGGGAGAAUGGCCUUGGUCAGGGAGGAGACAAGAACCCAAUGGUUACUCUGACAGAACUCCAGAGUUCCUCUGUGGAGAUGGGAGAACCUUUCAGAAGGACAACCCAUCUCUGCAGCACUUCACCAAUCAGGCCUUUAUGGUAGAGUGGCCAGACUGAAGCCAUUCCUCAGUAAAAGGCACAUGACAGCCCACUUGGAGUUUGCAAAAAGAACAGUAUUUUCUACAAGAUUCUCUGGUCUGAUGAAACCAAGAUUGAACUCUUUGGCCUGAAUGCCAAACAUCAUGCCUGGAGGAAACCUGGCACCAUCCCUAUAGUGAAGCAUGGUGGUGGCAGCAUCAUGCUGUGAGGAUGUUUGUCAGCGUCAGGGACAGCGAGAAUAGUCAGGAUCGAGGGAAAGAUGAAUGGAGCAAAGUAUUGAAAAAUCCUUGAUAAAAAACUGCUCUAGAGUGCUCAGGACCUCAGACUGGGGUGAAGGUUCACCUUCCAACAGGACAAUGGCCUUAAGCACACAGCCAAGACAACGCAGGAGUGGCUUUGGGACAAGUCUCUGAAUGUCCUUGAGUGGCCCAGCCAGAGCCCGGACUUGAACCUGAUCGAACAUCUCUGGAGAGACCUGAAAAUAUCUGUGCAGCAACGCUACCCAUCCAACCUGACAGAGCUUGAGAGGAUCUGCAGAGAAGAAUGGGAGAAACUCCCCAAAUACAGGUGUGCCAAGUUUGUAGUGUCAUACCCAAGAAGACUCAAGGCUGUAAUCGCUGUAAAAAGUCGUAAUACUUUGUCAUUUUUUUUGCAAACAUUUAUAGAAACCUGUUUUUCCUUUGCCAAUAUGGGGUAUUGUGUGUAGAUUGAGGGGAAAAAACAAUAUAAUCCCUUUUAGAAUAAGGCUGUAAAGUAACAAAAUGUGGAAAAAGUGAAGGAGUCUGAAUACGUUCUAAACGCCCUGUACAUGUAAUUAUUACUAUUUAAAAAUGUUUUGCCUGUUCUGCGUGUUAUUUUUUCAUUAAUACGUGCCACACAUCAGUUUGCAAACAUUGUAAAAAAAAAAAUAAUUAAGUUAACUUCUUCGAGAUAGGGGGCGCUCUUUUAAUUUUUGGAUAAAAAACGUUCCCGUUUUAAACAAGAUAUUUUGUCACGAAAAGAUGCUUGACUAUGCAUGUAAUUGACAGCUUUGGAAAGAAAAAACUCUGACGUUUCCAAAACUGCAAAGAUAUUAUCUGUGAGUGCCCCAGAACUAAUGCUACAGGCGAAAUGCCCCAGAUUCUGAAGGCGCUGUGUUCCAAUGUCUCCUUAUAUGGCUGUGAAUGCGCCAGGAAUGUGCCUGCACUUUCCGUCGUUUCCCCAAGGUGUCUGCAGCAUUGUGACGUAUUUGUAGGAAUAUCAUUGGAAGAUUGACCAUAAGAGACUACAUUUACCAGGUGUCCGCCCGGUGUCCUGCGUCAAAAUUAUUGCGUAAUCUCCGGGUCCAUGCGCGUUCCAUUUCUUCAGAGGAGAAACCAAACUGCCACGAAUGAUUUAUCAUCGAUAGAUAUGUGAAAAACACCUUGAGGAUUGAUUCUAAACAACGCUUGCCAUGUUUCUGUCGAUAUUAUGGAGUUAAUUUGGAAAAAAGUUUGCGUUGUAAUGACUUAAUUUUCUUUUUUUGUCUCACCCAAACGUGAUGAACAAAACGGAGCGAUUUGUCCUUCACAAAUAAUAUUUUUGGAAAAACUGAACAUUUGCUAUCUAACUGAGAGUCUCCACAUUGAAAACAUCUAAAGUUCCUCAAAGGUAAAUGAUUUUAUUUGAAUGCUUUUCUUGUUUUUGUGAAAAUGCUGCAUGCUGAAUGCUAGGCUUAAUGCUAUGCUAGGCUAUCAAUACUCUUACACAAAUGCUUGUUUAGCUAUGGUUCAAAAGCAUAUUUUGAAAAUCUGAGAUGACAGUGUUGUUAACAAAAGGCUAAGCUUGAGAGCAAAUAUAUUUAUUUCAUUUAAUUUGCGAUUUUCAUUAAUAGUUAACGUUGCGUUACGGUAAUGAGCUUGAGGCUAUAAAUAGGAUCCCGGAUACGGGAUUGCUCGUCGCAACAGGUUAACAAAGCCACAUACAAACAUGGUCCGUUAUAGUGCAAUUCGUGUUUUGUUUAGUGUUGUGUUGUGGCUUUGCUGGCAUGCAUCGAAAACAAAUUGGGGAAGUCUGGCCAAUCAAGAUUUACAUGCUAAAAUCACCACCGCAAGCAACUAUCCUGCACCAUUCCCAGAAAGUUGUGGGAAGGUUGUAUGCAAAAUAACCAUAGGACAACCACACUCUCACCAAGCUCUAAGAAACAUAUGGUUCUCAGAACGUUAUGUGCUGGCUGGGAGUACUGCCUCUGACCGAUAUACAGCACAAACACAGCUGAUAAUAGCUGUCACAUCACAAAAACACAUUACAAUGUAACACGGCUCUUUUAACAAUAUAUACAUUUUCAACACAACAACAACAUGCAUUAUUUGGCUAUAUUUUCUCUUCAGCUACAUGAGUGUUUCUCAGCAGACGUCGGUGGCCCUCAGCCUGUAACUUGGUUCCCUACGGUCUUCCUCUCACCACCUCUCACCCAGACAACUGAAAAUAACUUGCACAAACCAUGCAUGCAAACAGCGUCAGAAACACUCAGUCACAAACUCAAACACACCAACUCUCUCACACACUUCCCCUCCUCAAAUGUAAUACCAUAGAAACACAGUCAAUAGUACAAACGCAAAAGCGCCAAACAGGAAAAAGGAUGCUACACAUACACCUUCCUCAUUUCAACAUAUCAUACAACUACAGUGCCUUCAGAAAGUACUCACUCCACUUGAACAUUUUUCCACAAUUUGUAAUGUCACAGCCUCAAUUUUAAAUGGACUAAAUUGAGAUUGUGUGUCACUGGCCUACACACAACACCCCAUGCAUGGACUCACUCUGUGUGCAAUAAUAGUGUUUAACAUGAUUUUUGAAUGACUACCUCAUCUCUGUACCCGACACGUACAAUUAUACAAUUUAAGGCCCCUUAGUCAAGCAGUGAAUUUCAAACACAGAUGCAACCACAAAGACCAGGGAGAUUUCCCAAUACCUCGCAAAGAAUGGCACCUGUUGGUAGAUUAUUCAAAUAAAGAAAGCAGAUAUUGAAUAUGGUGAAGUUAUUAAUUACACUUUACAGGCGACUUCCUAACUCAGUUGCCAGAGAGGAAGGAAACUGCUCAGGGAUUUCACCAUCAGGCCAAUGGUGACUUUAAAACAGUUAUAGAGUUUAAUGGCUGUGAUAGGAGAAAAUUGAGGAUGGAUCAACAACAGUGUAUUUACUCCACAAUACUAACCUAAAUGACAGAAGAAAGACUGUACAGUAUAAAAAUAUUCCAAAACACGCAUCCUGUUUGCAAUAAAGGACUAAAGUAAAACUGCAAAACAAUUGGCAAAGAAAUGAACUAUGUCAUGAAUACAAAGCAUUAUGUUUGGGGCAAAUCCAACACAUCAUGGAGUACAGCUUCAUAUUUUCAAGCAUGGUGGUGGCUGCACCAUGUUAUUGAAAUGCUUGUAAUCAUUACUGAGUGGGGUGUUUUUCAGGAUAAAAAAGAAACAGAACGGAGCUAAGCACAGGCAUAAUCAUAGAGAAAAACUUGGUUCAGUCUGCUUUCCACGUGACACUGGGAGAUGAAUUCACCUUUCAGCAGGAGAAUAAUCUAAAAUACAAGGCCAAGUUGCUUACCAAGACGACACUGAAUGUGAUUGUGUUGGCCGAGUGGCCUACUUACAGUUUUGACUUAAAUCGGCUUGAAAAUCUAUGGCGAGACCUGAAGAUUGAUGUCUAGAAAUGAUGAACAAUCAACUUGACACAGCUUGAAGAAUUUUAAAAAGAAUAAUGGGCAAAUAUUGUACAAUCCAGGUGUGCAAAGCUCUUAGAGACUUACUCAAAAACACUCAUAGCUGUAAUCACCGCCAAAGGUGCUUCUACAAAGUAUUGACUCAGGGGUGUGACUACUUAUGUAAAUGAGAUAUUUCUGUAUUUAAUUUUCAAUACAUUUGCAAAAAUGUCUAAAAACACGUUUUCACUUUGUGAGUAUGGGGUGUUGUGUGUAGAUGUGGGUGAGAAAACUAAAUGUAUUUAUAUUUUGAAUUCAGGCUGUAACACAACAAAAUGUGAAAUACAGUGCGUUUGGAAAUUAUUCAGACCUUUUUGUUACGUUACAGCUUUAUUCUAAAAUGGAUUUAAAAAAUGUAAAAAAAAUCCCUCAUCAAUCAGUGAUGAAUUAUGCUUCACCAUCUGGCAAUCCGACGGACAAAAUCUGGGUUUGGCGGAUGCCAGGAAAACGCUACCUUCCCGAAUGAAUAGUGCAAACUGUAAAGUUUGGUGGAGAAGGAAUAAUUGUCUGGGGCUAUUUUCCAUGGUUCGAACUAGGCCCCUUAAUUCCAGGGAAGGGAAAUCUUAACUCUACAGCAUAAAAUUACAUCGAACACCCAUCAAACACCUUUGGGAUUAAUUGGAACGACGACUGUGAACCAGGCCUAAUCGCCCAUCGUCUGUGCCCGACCUCAUUAAUGCUCAUGGCUAAAUGGAAGAAAGUCCCUGCAGCAAUCUAUUAUCUUAGUGAUACAAGAAGUGGCACUGUGUUUAUAGCCAUAUUGGUUAUCUUGUCUAGCUCUGGUGCAACAUUCGUAUUUAAUGCUUCCAGUCUCAGUUAGUCUCACAGAUCGAUGGAGAACACAUCCCAACCCUUCUCAUCUGUGUCCAACACCUCCUACCUCUUUCCCACCUCCAUUUCUCCCUCCUCCCACUACACACUUAAUCCUCCCCUCCCAAGCUUCGUCCGCGCCUCCCUCUACGCCCUCCUCUUCCCCACAGGUCUCCUGGGCAAUGCUCUUUCUCACUGUGUGUUCCUGAGGUGUAUCCCGACCCAGACUUCUACCUGUCCAACUUACUCUUCUCCCUCACCACCUCUUUCCUGGCCAACUACUGCUCACAGGGAAGAAAAGCACCAAAAGAUUCCUCGUCAAUUCCUUCCCAGAGCCUGGUCUGCCUAGUCCUCCACGGGGUCACACUUGUCCAGAAUAUCAAUAUCUACGUCAGUGUCUUAAUCCUGACCUGGGUGCCGCUCACUGGCUUCGCCAUCCUCAUCUAGCACACAUAUGCCACCCGCCCCAGCACCUGCGCCGACCCUGCUUCCCCACGCCUUCUUCACCAGACUGAGGAGGGUGGGCUUCACAAAGGCCGUUUCACCAAGGCCGCCCCAGCACCUGCGCCCGGGUGGUGGUGCUGGCCAGAGUACCCGUGGCAGUUUACUAUUUAGUGAGAGAGACAGAGGUGGGGGGAGGGGGCGAGGAUGAAGGGAGAGGAGGAGGGGAGGGGAAUAUGCUCCAGUGUGGCGGUGGAGGUGCGGGGCAGCCUGUCGAUGGGGACGAUGGUGGCGGCCAUUGUGAUCUUCUUUGUGUGUUUCCUGCUGGUGCUGACUUUGUACGUGGCCAAGCAUAUGGAGGUUGCGGCGGUGCACCAUCGUCAACGACUCCCAGAGGCUGCUGGGAAAAGUGUUCCGGAACAUUGUAGUGAUCCAGGUGGUUCUGAUAGUGUGCCUGCUUCCUCAUCACAAGUUAAUCUUUAUCUCCAUGGUCCAGCACAAAGUUGACCCAGCCACCACCGCCACCAGGGGGCCCUGCCAUCCUCUCUCUGCCAUCAUCUUUUAUCCUUUAAAUGAAAGGUGCACUACGCAGCAUUUUCAAUAGACUAUUAGAUAACUAUAGGCAAUAUUUGUCACAUUUUAUUUUCGUUUCAAGAGCACUUCCAGAAGAACAUCAUGUUUUGUGGAGUUAUCAUCAGUCAUAGGUAUACAUGAAGGAAAGUUUGAAGCCGUCAAACAUCGAAACAGUAUGUUGAUUUUUGAUUCAGGUCAAGAACUUCCUGCUUUGUCUCGCUGCACUGCGGAGUGCCACCAACUCGUAAAUGUAUUUCCUGUUGGACAAGACCCGCCCACAGAAGCCCAGAAAACAAUCAUCAGGCGGGCCUACCAUGCAGGCCACCACCAGAGUCAAUCCAAAUUGUGGGAGGUUGGAGGUGACUGUGUCAUAAGGGUCAGGGGCCAUGGAAAGAGUCACCCAGGGGGAACUGGAGUCUGGGCAGUGCUCUGUAAAGGCUUGUUAUAUUGACCACUUUCAUCACUUCAGGAGAAGUGAGACCAAUGUUUUUACCAUGUGCUGCUGUUUUUUUUCUUCCUACUUCAUUCAAAGAGAACCAUGUAUAUUUAUUAGGGAGAAUAAAUGUGGAACUGAUACUGUAAGGCUCAACACAGGAGAUGAGAAGCAGGUACAGGGAGUGAAACAUUUAAUACAGACGGACAUGCAGCGGAACAGGAACAGCGUCUGGACAUAAACACGACACGGCAAACAAUGCUACUACAGGGAACAACCCAGAGGAGCAGACAUAGAUGCAGGGGCAACAAAGUGAGGGAGUCCAGGUGAGUCCAAUGAGUGCAACUGCGCGUACUGAUGGUAACAGGUGUGUAUGAUGACGGGUAGCCUGGCGCCCUCGAGUGCCAGGGAGGGGGAGCAGGAGUGACUUAUACAGUGUGCGGUGUGCUUGGGUAAUACAUAUGUAAAAAUGUGUAUUAUAAAUCUUAUAGGUGUAAAGCGGUAUGUGUUUAAUCCUGCAGGAUGUGAGUGUGUAUUGUUCUGUGAAGUGUGGGUCUUGCAGAUGGCUGUGCUCUGGGAGGACUAGACAAAGGCAGACAGGCGAGAGAAUCUGCCACACUCCACUGUACACACACACACACACAGAAAGAGAGAUCGAGAGAGGAUGAGAGGAAGGGAGGAAAAAAUCCCCACUGGUAUUGCCCAGAGGCAGCAAUUAUUGCAAACCUACACUAGCUUCAGCAGAAGACUUCUGCCUUCAAUCUUUAACCUGUACCCGUUAUGCAGAGUGCACACUGUUUGUAUUUCCUUGCCUGAAUAUAAUAGUCAAAGUGCUACCUUUUCAAACAACAAUAAUCACGUCUCUGAGUGUAUGCUAAAAAGAGUGACCACCACAUUGACAAUUGAUAUGAGUCAUUCAGCAGACACUUCUGUACAUCCAGAGCUGCUUACAGAAUGUGUACGGUCGCACGCGUGAGUGUGUAUGUGUGUGCAUACAAGCGUGUGAUUUUUUAAAAAUAGAAAAGUGUCCUUCAGUCAAGCAUAUACACUUUCACACAUAUUAAGCUCAAUUAAGGUAACCAACACAGCAUUUUAAUCAAAGGCAUUUAUUUUGGCUCCACUUUAAACCUGAUUUAUCCUGGCUGUUUAUAGCAGAUUAGGGCUGUAAUUCACAAUAUCUCUACCAUGGCUCACACUCAUUAACUAUGCCAGUGGUCCACGGGGGGGGGGAGUGAAUGAGUGUGCGCUAGGACUGGGUGGUGUACCGUAUUUUACUAUAUACCGGUAUUGAUGGAAGGACCGGUUUGGGUUUUCACUUUACCUUCUAUAACAGUGUUUGGUUUGUUAAAUGUGAUACGCCGGGUGUAACGUCCAUUUCUAUAGUUUACUCUGCUACUUGAGUCAUCUCUCACACAAGGCAUAUGCAUAUAUGAUGAACAGAGAGUAGCAGUAGCGUAAAAGAGGGGUUGGCGGGUGGUGGGACACAAUGCAGAUAGCCCGAUUAGCUAAUGUGCGGGAGCACUGGUUGGUCGGCCCAAUUGAGGUAGUAUGUACAUGAAUGUAUAGUUAAAGGGACUAUGCAUAUAUGAUCAACAGAGAGUAGCA